GACGAACGCUGGCGGCGUGCCUAAUACAUGCAAGUAGAACGCACAGUUUAUACCGUAGCUUGCUACACCAUAGACUGUAAGUUGCGAACGGGUGAGUAACGCGUAGGUAACCUGCCUGGUAGCGGGGGAUAACUAUUGGAAACGAUAGCUAAUACCGCAUAAUAUUAAUUAUUGCAUGAUAAUUAAUUGAAAGGUGCAAUUGCACCACUACCAGAUGGACCUGCGUUGUAUUAGCUAGUAGGUGAGGUAACGGCUCACCUAGGCGACGAUACAUAGCCGACCUGAGAGGGUGAUCGGCCACACUGGGACUGAGACACGGCCCAGACUCCUACGGGAGGCAGCAGUAGGGAAUCUUCGGCAAUGGACGAAAGUCUGACCGAGCAACGCCGCGGGAGUGAAGAAGGUUUUCGGAUCGUAAAGCUCUGUUGUAAGAGAAGAACGGGUGUGAGAGUGGAAAGUUCACACUGUGACGGUAGCUGACCAGAAAGGGACGGCUAACUACGUG
rnacentral:rRNA from 1 species